UGCUCCAUGAGAAAUAAAUAGCCGCAAAAUCUGUGCUAAGGUAGCAAAAUCAUUUGCCUUUUAAUUAAAGGCCCGUAUGAAGGGUUUUACAUAUUGAUUUCUUUAUUAUUACGAAAAUUUUAAAUUAACCUUUAAGUAAAAAGACUUAAAUAAAAAAGAAAGACGACAAGACCCUGACAAACUUUACACUAAUGUUUUACUGGGGCGGUACAAAAACCACAUCUUUUUUCACAAAUAAAACAAAUAUUUUACCAACCAAGUUACUGCAGGGAUAACAGCAUAAUUUUUUCUUAGAGUCCUUAUCAAAGAAAAAGAUUGUGACCUCGAUGUUGAAUAAUGUAACUCAUAAGAGCACCCCCUUAUCUAGUAAGUCUGUUCGACUUUUAAUACAUUACA
rnacentral:rRNA from 1 species